rnacentral:rRNA from 1 species
UACGAAGGGGGCUAGCGUUGUUCGGAUUUAUUGGGCGUAAAGGGUGCGUAGGCGGUUCGGUAAGUUUCGUGUGAAAUCUUCGGGCUCAACUCGAAGCCUGCACGAGAUACUGCCGGGCUUGAGUGUGGGAGAGGUGAGUGGAAUUUCCGGUGUAGCGGUGAAAUGCGCAGAUAUCAGGAGGAACACCGAUUGCGAAGGCAGCUCGCUGGGACGUGGCUGACGCUGAAGCACGAAAGCGUGGGGAGCAAACAGG